UACGUAGGGGGCAAGCGUUGUCCGGAAUCAUUGGGCGUAAAGCGCGUGUAGGCGGUUCGUUAAGUCUGCUGUGAAAGUCCAGGGCUCAAUCCUGGGAUGCCGGUGGAUACUGUCGGACUAGAGUACGGAAGAGGCGAGUGGAAUUCCCGGUGUAGCGGUGAAAUGCGCAGAUAUCGGGAGGAACACCAAUUGCGAAGGCAGCUCGCUGGGACGUUACUGACGCUGAGACGCGAAAGCGUGGGGAGCAAACAGG
rnacentral:rRNA from 1 species